rnacentral:misc_RNA from 1 species
UUGAUUGAUUCAUUGGUUUACUCGGACGCGUGGAUGCAGGGUUAUAUGGUCCACCGGGGGCCCCGACGCCCGAAGGCCGGGUCGCCCCCGAGGCAACAGAGUCGGAAUACAAAGGGUGGGAGGUCGGGCCGCGAGGCCCUCACUCGGUAAUGAUCCCUCCGCAGGUUCACCUACGGAGA